UCCACCUUUCUCUACAAACCCUAGAUCCUCCACCACUCCUCCACCUUUCAUCCAUGGAACCGGUCGUCGCCAUCACCGUCUUCUCCCCUUCUCCACUCCAACAGUCGCUUCAUGAUCUAGGGUUUCACUGAGAAACCAGUCGUUUCAUGAUCUAGGGUUUGUCUGUAGAUCCGAUGCUAUCUCAACAGAUUCGACACAAGAUCCGACACCAGAUCCGACACCAGAUCGAUUUCUAUAGCUUCUUUCCCGGUGGCUUCAAGAUCCGACACUAUCUCAGUAGAUCCGACACCAGAUCUACUGGUUUGACUGUAGGAUCUUCCGUUUGGUUGUGGGUUCGUCAACAAUGGUGGUUAUGGGUGGAAGAUCUGGCCAGAUCUAUGGCUCUGUUCUUUAAAUUUCUUGGAGGAUCUUAAGCUCAGGUGCAACGGGAAAUGUGAAUAAGGUUUCAUGGGUGAUUUUAAGUUCAGAAGGGAGAAGGAACUGAGACUGAAGAUGUUCUUGAUGAUGGAAUUGUGAAAAACAUACAAAUCUUAUUGCUUCUUCAGGUUGCGGUUGCCUAUGAAAAUGGGUAAGCUCGAUAUGUGGCUGAAAGACGGAUUCCAUUUGUUGCUCUUGAUGUGACAAGGUAUAAAGUCAUUUAUAUUUUUUAUGUGCUAAAUGGGUUAAAGAGAUGAGGAUUCGAGCUCUGGAGAUGGUGUCAGAACUCAAAGAGCGGAUA